GUUUCCAGCCAAACGGCCAAGCUCCAAUCUCUUCCACAGACAAGAAAUUUACUCUUCAAAUACGAGUUAACGGUGUUUAUGUAGCAAAAUUUUCACCUCCACGACGGCUAAGAACUGAUGAAAUUCCUCCAGCAAUCAAUGAUUUUAGACUUGCUGCGAAGAAUGCUAUGGAAGCUGUGCUAUGGCCCGGAUAAUCUUUGAAAUUCUAUGAGGCAAUCUUUGAAAUUUCAUCGUGAUAUUGAAAAUAAAUUCGUUUUGACUGUUGUUCUUCAAGGAGUUGGCCCAGUUGUUUUA